rnacentral:rRNA from 1 species
UACGUAGGGGGCAAGCGUUGUCCGGAAUCAUUGGGCGUAAAGAGCGUGUAGGUGGCUCGGUAAGUCCGCUGUGAAAGUCCAGGGCUCAACCCUGGAAUGCCGGUGGAUACUGUCGGGCUAGAGUCCGGAAGAGGCAAGUGGAAUUCCUGGUGUAGCGGUGAAAUGCGCAGAUAUCAGGAGGAACACCAACGGCGAAGGCAGCUUGCUGGGACGGUACUGACACUGAGACGCGAAAGCGUGGGGAGCAAACAGG